rnacentral:rRNA from 1 species
AAAAUCCGUAGGAAUAAUGCUAGGAUGUGAUGCGGAGCGAAAUUUAGUAGCGAAGUAGCUGAUUUCACACUGUCGAGAAAAGUCUCUAUCGAGGUUAAAGGUGCCUGUACCGCAAACCGACACAGGUGGGUGAGGAGAGUAUCCUAAGGCCAGCCAGAGAACUGUUGUUAAGGAACUCGGCAAAAUGACCCCGUAACUUCGGGAGAAGGGGUGCCUGUCUUUGACAGGCCGCAGAGAAUAGGCCCAAGCGACUGUUUACCAAAAACACAGGUCUCUGCUAAGUCGCAAGACGAUGUAUAGGAGCUGACGCCUGCCCGGUGCUGGAAGGUUAAGGGGAUCUGUUAGAGCAAUCGAAGCAGUGAACUUAAGCCCCAGUAAACGGCGGCCGUAACUAUAACGGUCCUAAGGUAGCGAAAUUCCUUGUCGGGUAAGUUCCGACCCGCACGAAAGGCGUAACGAUUUGGGCACUGUCUCAACAACAGACUGGGUGAAAUUGUAAUACCGGUGAAGAUGCCGGUUACCUGCGACAGGACGGAAAGACCCCAUGGGGCUUUACUGUAGCUUGACAUUGGGUCUUGGUACUACAUGUACAGGAUAGGUGGGAGACUAUGAAGCCGGAACGCCAGUUUCGGUGGAGUCAUCCUUGGGAUACCACCCUUGUAGUACUGGGACUCUAACCAUAGGCCAUGAAUCUGGUCUUGGGACACUGUCAGGUGGGCAGUUUGACUGGGGCGGUCGCCUCCUAAAAAGUAACGGAGGCGCUCAAAGGUUCUCUCAGUACGGUCGGAAAUCGUACGUAGAGUGUAAAGGCACAAGAGAGCUUGAUUGCAAGACAUACAGGUCGAGCAAGGACGAAAGUCGGACUUAGUGAUCCGGUGGUUCCGCAUGGAAGGGCCAUCGCUCAACGGAUAAAAGCUACCCUGGGGAUAACAGGCUUAUCUCCCCCAAGAGUCCACAUCGACGGGGAGGUUUGGCACCUCGAUGUCGGCUCAUCACAUCCUGGGGCUGUAGUAGGUCCCAAGGGUUGGGCUGUUCGCCCAUUAAAGUGGUACGCGAGCUGGGUUCAGAACGUCGUGAGACAGUUCGGUCCCUAUCCGUCGCAGGCGUAGGAAAUUUGAGGAGACCUGUCCUUAGUAUGAGAGGACCGGGAUGGACGCACCGCUGGUGUACCAGUUGUUCUGCCAAGGGCAUAGCUGGGUAGCUAAGUGCGGAAUGGAUAAGCGCUGAAAGCAUCUAAGCGCGAAGCCGACUUCAAGAUAAGAUUUCCCACCGUAAGGGUAAGACCCCAGGAAGACUACCUGGUUGAUAGGUCGGAGGUGGAAGUGCAGUAAUGUAUGUAGCUUACCGAUACUAAUAGGUCGAGGACUUGACC